UCAACCAGUUUGAUGAGAUCGUCAAGAAUAAUGAUACUGUGGGGGAUGUGAAAGAUGAACACACGUUGCCUAUAAGCUUGCAAUUGCCCCUAUGGUUGUCCAAUGAAAACAAGCUUUUACUCAGCACUUAUUUUCCAGGCUUAGAAUUAAGUGGCAUCGGACAUGGACCUGCUUUCAAUGAGCUUUCACUCAGAUGGGGACACAUCCUGACUACCAGCACCUGUGAUACAGGUGCAUGCAGUGGUCCUGCUCUUGCCGGAGCUCUUCUGCCAUGCGGGCAGCCUGUGGGAGACCAGGAGAAGAGCACGAGCUGGAGCUGGGUCUGCAUCCAGGCUCAUAGUGCCUUUGAGAGCACUUAAUACAGAGCCUGGACAGAGCAGGUCUCCAAUAAACACAUGUUGGAUGCAUGGAUCCAGCUAUACAUGCUUUAAAGACCAACCUGAUGAUGAAGAGUGAUAAAGGAGGACUUCACCUCUAUUUGUGUUUAUUUCUUAAGGCGAAGUGCCUCUGCCCGGCCCUUGGCUUCUGCAUCCAGGCUGGUCUGCAAAGACUCAAUGGCCCGCUGGUGGUUCUUCCUACAAGUCCAAGCAGAGAAGGCCUUGACGUACUGGACAAGCACAUUCAGUCUAUGCUAAACCUAGAUAAGAGACUUCUGAACAUCAACAUGAGAAUAGCAUGUUGGAAGGUGAAAGUUUAUCACAUGUCUUUUGUGAUAUCGAUUCAUUUAACAUAAAAACAGUCCUGCAAGAAAACUGAGGUUCCAGGAUGAUGGAAAACAUGCCAAAGGUCAUCCAUUUAGCCCACAAUGAGUUGCAUUCAAACCUAGAUGCUGAGGUCCAGUUUUAUUUAUUACAAAAUAGGAAUUUUUACUAUACAAGUUAGAUAUAUAUUUAUCUUCAAAACAAUUCAUUGAUUGUUCUUAAUAUAUAUAUUAAUUAUGUUGUAAUUAACAUAAACAUUUCCAAAAAGCCCUCAUAUAAACUGUAUUAAUCUCCUUUUAUAGGAGGGGACCAGAGGAGUUAAUUUAAAUGUUAAAAAAAUAAUUGUUUCAUUGAGGCAAAUAAAUGAUUAGCAUGUAAAGAUCUUGUCCACAUUAUGCUCACCUCUGCUUCACCCCUGAACACUCACUAUGUGCAGGCAUGUUGCUGGAUUUGCAGUACUUUGAGGUGUAUUCAAUUUGCAGAUAUGGGCAAGGAUAUCAUGACAUUCUCAAAAGCGAACAAAAUUGGAACUCAUUUUGGGUUAAAAAUAAAUACAAGCAAAAACAUUGAAAAAAUUAAAGAAGAUCUAAAUAAAUGGAAAAAUAUUUAUGUUUAUGGAUUUAAUAUUGUUAAGGUGGGAUUAAAUGCAAUCU